rnacentral:snoRNA from 1 species
AUUGCUGGAGAAGGCUACUGUAUCACAUGCAUGUCAGUAUGUGGCAGAGAGGAGAAAGACUAUGCCGAAGCUUAGAGUUCUGACCUGUGGAUAUGAGAAUAAUUAGGAGCCUAACAAU